rnacentral:rRNA from 1 species
UACGUAGGGUGCAAGCGUUGUCCGGAAUUAUUGGGCGUAAAGAGCUCGUAGGCGGUUUGUCGCGUCUGCUGUGAAAACCCGAGGCUCAACCUCGGGCCUGCAGUGGGUACGGGCAGACUAGAGUGCGGUAGGGGAGAUUGGAAUUCCUGGUGUUGCGGUGGAAUGCGCAGAUAUCAGGAGGAACACCAAUGGCGAAGGCAGAUCUCUGGGCCGUAACUGACGCUGAGGAGCGAAAGCAUGGGGAGCGAACAGG